rnacentral:rRNA from 1 species
UACAGAGGGGGCAAGCGUUGUUCGGAAUUACUGGGCGUAAAGGGCGCGUAGGCGGUCCUGAUCGUCGGAUGUGAAAGGCCUGGGCUCAACCUGGGAACUGCAUCCGAUACGGCGGGACUGGAGUGUGGGAGAGGUUGGUGGAAUUCCCAGUGUAGAGGUGAAAUUCGUAGAUAUUGGGAAGAACACCGGUGGCGAAGGCGGCCAACUGGACCACAACUGACGCUGAGGCGCGAAAGCGUGGGGAGCAAACAGG